UGGGGAAUAUUGCACAAUGGGGGAAACCCUGAUGCAGCGACGCCGCGUGAACGAAGAAGGUAUUCGUAUCGUAAAGUUCUGUCCUAUGGGAAGAUAAUGACAGUACCAUAGAAGAAAGCUCCGGCUAAAUACGUGCCAGCAGCCGCGGUAAUACGUAUGGAGCGAGCGUUGUCCGGAAUUAUUGGGCGUAAAGGGUACGCAGGCGGUUUAAUAAGUCGAAUGUUAAAGAUCGGGGCUCAACCCCGCAAAGCAUUGGAAACUGAUAAACUUGAGUAGUGGAAAGGAAAGUGGAAUUCCUAGUGUAGGGGUGAAAUACGUAGAUAUUAGGAGGAAUACCAGUAGCGAAGGCGACUUUCUGGACACAAACUGACGCUGAGAUACGAAAGCGUGGGGAGCAAACAGG
rnacentral:rRNA from 1 species